UACAGAGGUCCCGAGCGUUGUUCGGAUUCACUGGGCGUAAAGGGUGCGCAGGUGGCAUGUUAAGUUUGAUGUGAAAGCUCAGGGCUCAACCCUGAAAUGGCAUUGAAUACUAGCGUGCUGGAGGUUUGGAGGGGGGACUGGAAUUCUCGGUGUAGCAGUGAAAUGCGUAGAUAUCGAGAGGAACACCAGUGGCGAAGGCGAGUCCCUGGACAACACCUGACACUGAGGCACGAAAGCUAGGGGAGCAAACAGG
rnacentral:rRNA from 1 species